CGUGUAGGCGGCCAAACAGGUCCGUUGUGAAAACUGGAGGCUUAACCUCCAGACGUCGACGGAAACCGUGUGGCUAGAGUCCGGAAGAGGAGAGUGGAAUUCCUGGUGUAGCGGUGAAAUGCGCAGAUAUCAGGAAGAACACCAAUGGCGAAGGCAGCUCUCUGGGACGGUACUGACGCUGAGACGCGAAAGCGUGGGGAGCGAACA
rnacentral:rRNA from 1 species